rnacentral:rRNA from 1 species
CCUACGGGCGGCAGCAGUAGGGAAUUUUGCGCAAUGGGCGAAAGCCUGACGCAGCAACGCCGCGUGAUCGAGACGCCCUUCGGGGUGUAAAGAUCUGUCAGUGGGGACGAAACUUGACGGUACCCACAGAGGAAGCAGCGGCUAACGCCGGGCCAGCCGCCGCGGUCAUACGGCGGAUGCUAGCGUUAUCCGGAUUUAUUGGGUUUAAAGGGUGCGCAGGCGGACGAUCAAGUCCGCGGUAAACUUGAGAGGCUCAACCUCUGCGAGCCGUUGAAACGGGUGUUCUUGGGUGAGUGAGAAGUCUGCUGCAUGCGUGGUGUAGCGGUGAAAUGCAUAGAUAUCACGCAGAACUCCGAUUGCGCAGGCAGCAUACCGGCGCUCACCUGACGCUCAUGCACGAAAGUGUGGGUAUCGAACAGGAUUAGAUACCCUGGUAGUC